UCAGAUUCUUUUCCAUUAUAGGUCAUUACAAGAUACUGAGUAGAGUUCCCUGUGCUGUACAGGCAUUGCAGAGUAUUGAGUAGAGUUCCCUGUGCUGUACGUGGAAUCCAAGAUGCAAAA